UACGUAGGGUGCAAGCGUUGUCCGGAAUUAUUGGGCGUAAAGAGCUCGUAGGCGGUUCGUCGCGUCGGCUGUGAAAUCCCGAGGCUCAACCUCGGGUCUGCAGUCGAUACGGGCGGACUGGAGUACUGCAGGGGAGACUGGAAUUCCUGGUGUAGCGGUGAAAUGCGCAGAUAUCAGGAGGAACACCGGUGGCGAAGGCGGGUCUCUGGGCCUGUUCUGACGCUGAGGAGCGAAAGCUGGGGGAGCGAACAGG
rnacentral:rRNA from 1 species